rnacentral:ncRNA from 1 species
AAUAGCUUACUUUUCUCAUUGGCUAGAGAAUCGUAAGGGAAAAUAAUAGGUGACAUCUAGCCAACACCAUUAAAAAACCCCCUCACUAUUGCACUAGUGAGGGGGUUAGGUGUUUAAAU